UAUAUGACAAGAAAUGACGCUAUUAGGAGAAAUUUGGAGAUGAAAAUGGGGCAAUUGGUAAAUGAGUUGAAGUCAAGACCCUAAGGUAAAUUGCCAGGACACAUAUAAACUCCCAAGCGAGAAGGUUAAGAGCAAUGUAAGGCAGCAACAACAAGAAGUGGAUUGACCUAUGAUGAGCCUGCACUUCUAGUUGAAGGAACCGAUAUAUCUACACAUGUAUCUGCAUUUGUACCUACACCACAACCAGAAGAGAGGGCAGGGCCAGUAAGUUCAUAGGAGAAUGGUAAGAAAACUGACAAAGGUAAACAAGUAGUGCCUAGUGUUUUACUUUGCAGGUAGGUAAUUUUAUAAUUCCUCCACAUUUUUCUCAAAGGUUAGCUAAAAAGAAUCAGGAUAGCCACUUUAAGAAAUUAUUUGAAAUAUUGAAAUAGUUGCAUAUUAACAUCCCAUUGAUAGAUGCAUUAGAGAACAUAUGCCUAAUUACACUAAGUUCUUAAAAGAUAUAAUCUCUAGGCGAGAGAAAUUAGGUGAACAUGAAAUAAUAACCUUAAAAAAAUGCAAUAGUGAUGCUCUAGAAAAUCUAUUAUGUUCUAAACAUAAAGACYCAGGUAGUUUUACUAUCACUUGUUCGAUAUGUGGUAAGAAUCUAGGAAGAGCAUUGUGCAAUUCAUGUGCAUGUAUAAACCUUAUGCCUCUUUAUGUUUUUAAAGAGUUAAAUAGGAGAAGUUCACCCCACUACUGUAACUUUGCAAUUAGCUGAUAGGUCCAUAAAGAAAUCGGAAGGAAAAGUUGAGGAUGUUCUUGUUAAAGUUAAUAAAUUUAUUCUUCUUGCGGAUUUUAUUAUUUUGGAUUGUAAAACAUAUCUUGAGAYGCCGAUUCAUUCUUGGAAGAUCAUUUUUAGCAACCGGCGACACUAUCUUUAAUGUGAGGAAAGGAGAAAUUACAAUGAAGGUAAAUGAUGARCGAGUCAUGUUUAAUGUCCUAGAUGCAAUGCGUCUCCCGGAUGAAGUCGAAGAGCGCUCAGCAAUAAGGGCAACUAUUGAAGAGUUUCAGGAGCUGAUUGAUACAGGCAUAGAAGCAGAUUUGGAUGCCGUAGAAAGGGAUGCUAAAAAAGUGGCUAGUGCGUUACUUUGGCGGUGAUGGAAAAGUUCGAGGUAUUAUCCAAGUACAAAAAUGCUGUAGGAUGAACCAUAACAGACAUAAGAGGAAGUAGCCUCGCAUUUUGCAUGCACAAAAUCAUCCUGGAAGAAGAAGCCACCAAUUACAUUGAAAGCUAACAAAGACUCAGCCUUAAAAUGAAAGAGGUGGUAAAGAUUGAAAUAAUUAAGUGGUUAUGCGCAUGGGUGAUCUACCCCAUAUCCUGGUUCAAUGCGUACCUAAGAAGGGUGGCAUGACGGUAAUCACCAAUGAUGACAGUAAGCUGAUACAGAUGAGAAUGAUGACCAGUUGAAGAGUGUUCAUGGAUUAUCGUCAUUUGAACAAGAUAACUAGAAAAUAUGAUUUCCCACUUCCUUUUAUUUACUACAUGCUCCAUUGUUUUGCAGGGAAGAAGUGCUAUUGCUUUUUAGACGGUUAUUCUGGUUACAACCAUAUAACGAUAGCUCCGGAGGACCAGGAAAAGACAACUUUUAUGUGCCCCUAUGAGACGUUUGCAUUACGAAGAAUGUCGUUUGGUCUUUUCAAUUCCCUGGCUACCUUUCAAAGAUGCAUGACAACGAUAUUUUCUAAUAUGGUAGAGCAAACAGUUGAGAGUUUUAUGGAUGACGACUUUUCUGUUUUUGGUGAAUCUUUUGAAAUGUGUUUGAAAAUUUUGGAAAACGUAUUAAAAUGAUGCGAGAAGGCUAAUCUUGUGUUAAAUUCGGAAAAGUGCCAUUUUAUGGUACCUGAGGGAAUUUUGUUAGGACAUAAGAUUUCAAGUAAAGGAAUAGAAGUUGAAAGGGCGAAAAUUGAUUUAAUUUCUAAAUUACCCCCA